rnacentral:tRNA from 1 species
AGGCCGUUAGCUCAGUGGUAGAGCGCCUGCCUUUUAAGCAGGGUGUCGUGGGUUCGAUCCCCACACGGCCUACCA